rnacentral:rRNA from 1 species
AUUAGGCAUGCAAGUCGAACGGUAUAAACCUUUCGGGGUUAGAGAGUGGCGAACGGGUGAGUAACACGUAGGUAAUCUAACCCGUCAAAAACGGGGACAACCCAGGGGAAACUUGGGCUAAUACCGGAUGCGUGCAAGCAAUGUUUGGCUGUUAAUGCUAUUCACGGAAGUGAGUAGUGUUAAUGGUUGAGAGCAUUAUUUGCAUAAAAGGUGGCAUAUGCUGCCGUUUGAGGAUGAGCCUGCGUCCUAUUAGUUAGUUGGUGAGGUAAUGGCUUACCAAGGCGAUGAUAGGUAGGCGGCCUUAACGGGUGGUCGCCCACACUGGGAUUGAGAGACGGCCCAGACUCCUACGGGAGGCAGCAGUCGAGAAUAGUCUACAAUGGACGGAAGUCUGAUAGUGCGACGCCGCGUGAACGAAGAAUCCCUUCGGGGUGUAAAGUUCUUUUAUACGUGAGCAGUGCCCUUUAUAUGAAUAGUAUAGAGGGAGGGAUUUAAGCGUAUGAAUAAGCAACGGCUAACUCCGUG